GGCAAAUGUUUGGAUGACUGAUUGCAUCGUCAGAAUCUCAAUACGUGAUGGAAGUGUGCUCGGAUGGGUUCUCCUCCCUUCUUUGAGACGGAAAUUGUUGGGAGAAGGGAAACAAAUUGAUGUUUUAAAUGGCAUUGCAUGGGAUAGCGGCAAGAAUCGCCUUUUUGUGACAGGAAAGCUAUGGCCAAAGCUCUUUGAAAUCAAAGUGCAGCCAUCAAAGGAGCAUUAUGAUGAUGAAAAGAUAAAACAGCUUUGCUUGCGAGAGGCAGUUACAUUUUGACUAACAUUAUCG
rnacentral:misc_RNA from 1 species